GGAGGGUAUAGCUCAGUGGUAGAGUGUAUGCUUAGCAUGCAUGAGGUCCUGGGUUCAAUCCCCAGUACCUCCA
rnacentral:tRNA from 1 species